rnacentral:sRNA from 12 species
UUGUUGCGUAUUGUUUCUACUCUAAAAGUAAAGAAAGCAGAUACGUACUCUUGCCUGAAACGAGAUAAAAAGAAGAAUUUGAGCGUGUCUGCUCGCUGCUACACCUAGGGAGGAUAGCAGUCCAAAAUGGUAAUC